rnacentral:lncRNA from 1 species
GAAGAACUCUAAUGCCAUUAAAAUCUCUGCACUUUUAACCCACAUUCAAUUAUAAAAUGAGUUUUAAAUGGCUUUUCUUUUUUUUUUUUAGGCAGGACUGUUCAAAAGGAAGAAAAUUGGAGACCUGUGCCGUCUGAUAUAAGACUCAAGAACCAAAAAAACCCCACCACCCUACCAAAACCGGACCAGUAGUGACCCGUGUCAGUGGGAAAUGGAACAAAACAAUAGGAAUAUGCAUCAGGAUGUGGAUGAAAAGAGAAACUGUGGUCCGGCUUCUGCCCUGGGAACUAAAGCAGGCGUGCUUGAAGGUGUAGGACAUAAUUUUCUUGUAGAAGGAAUGAAAGCACCUGGGACCAUGAAGAUUUUACAAAAAUGGCUCGGUUUCACACUUCCUGAAGUAUGCACUACUGUCUGAAGCAGCACCCACCUGAGGAAAACUUCAACAUCCAGGUAUCUUCUCUGAGGAGACUUUUUUCAGCAAAUUUCCUUACAUUUUCUCUCCACUCUUGCUGAAUUCAGAAAAGAUCUCCCCAUUUAAAAUACAUCUAGAAUGACAUUGUAAUCUACAAGAACAUUUGAAAGCAAAUGAAAAUAGCUGUCCGUAUUUUGCUUUACAUAGUAAUGUUUUCAUUGGGCCAAUGGCUACCAUUAAUUUUCAAAAGUUUCUUUUCAAGUUGGACAAAGUUACAGCAAACUGAAAGUCCCAUUGAGCCCAUACAGCCAAAAUUGUUCUGAAGUCCCCUGGACAGAUUUGCUGCUAACUGUAGCAACACCGUGUCCUUUUAAUUAAACAGAAUGAAGGAGUGGAAAGUCUUCAUGGGUCAAUUUUUAGA